rnacentral:lncRNA from 1 species
GUACAGUUUUCGUUUUAAUGAGGAAAGUUGGGUUUUCCAUGCAUAUUCUAUACUAAAUCUGACAAUUUUGCACAACCUGUAGUGUGAAAAUAAGUCCGGUGACCCAUUCUUUUAAUUAAUGUUUUGAAACAAGCAGGUUAUAAACUACAUUUUGGCAAAUUAUCAAAAAAAUCUAUGGAUUAUAAUUUAGACACCCCAUCUACCUUAAA